GCGGGUGUAGUUCAAUGGUAGAACUGUAGCUUCCCAAGCUACUAACGUGGGUUCGAUUCCCAUCACCCGCUCCA
rnacentral:tRNA from 21 species